ACGGCCGCGGUAUCCUAACCGUGCGAAGGUAGCGUAAUCACUUGUUCUUUAAAUGAGGACUAGUAUGAAUGGCACCACGAGGGUUAAACUGUCUCCUUUUUCUAAUCAGUGAAACUAAUCUCCCCGUGAAGAAGCGGGGAUUCUUCUAUAAGACGAGAAGACCCUAUGGAGCUUAAAACAUGUUAACACUUGCUACCCCUUAAUCUCCUUCCCGCACUAACACACAAAAUAUAGCACGACUGAUUAAUAGUUUUCGAUUGGGGUGAUCACGGAGCAAAAAAUAACCUCCACGACGAAAAGGAACCCUCCUUGAGCCAAAAGUCACAACUUUAAGCACUAAAAAAUUAACGCACCUUGACCCAAUUUUUUGAGCAACGAACCAAGUUACCCUAGGGAUAACAGCGCAAUCCACUUCAAGAGCUCCUAUCGACAAGUGGGUUUACGACCUCGAUGUUGGAUCAGGGUAUCCCAGUGGUGCAGCCGCUACUAAAGGUUCGUUUGUUCAACGAUUAAAACCCUACGUGAUCUGAGUUCA
rnacentral:rRNA from 1 species